UACGGGGGGGGGCAAGCGUUGUUCGGAAUUACUGGGCGUAAAGGGCGCGUAGGCGGCCUUCUAAGUCGGACGUGAAAUCCCUCGGCUUAACCGAGGAACUGCGUCCGAUACUGAAAGGCUUGAAUCCGGGAGAGGGAUGUGGAAUUCCAGGUGUAGCGGUGAAAUGCGUAGAUAUCUGGAGGAACACCGGUGGCGAAGGCGGCAUCCUGGACCGGCAUUGACGCUGAGGCGCGAAAGCUAGGGGAGCAAACGGGG
rnacentral:rRNA from 1 species